CCACUGAGCUAUAAUAUAACUGGAGGAAGUGCUCGGCAUCAAAAGGUGAAGCCAAAAACAUGGCGGAUUUUCACGUCUGCUGACGCCAGAAUGACGCCACUGGUCCCAAAUCCUCGUGGUAAUUACCACUGACCAACCGCGAUCCUCGGUUUCAGACGACAAUUUCACCCCCCUGGUUUUUGCACAAAAAAGCUGAAACUCUGCUGAAAAUUUAUAUAAAAAACAUCAAGAAAAAAUGCCGAGUUUUUGCAUGGCUUCAUGAUGCCACAAUUCUUUAAUAUCAAGAAGAGACACUUCUUAUUACCGGUAAGAUGUAUAUUAAACUCUUUCUCUGUGCUUCAUUUGUACUAAAUUCUGUUUUUUAAAAGAAAAAAUUGGAUACGAAAUUUACAAAUAUAACGACGCUGUACAGCAGCUGGUGUUAUUCUGCCUUUAUCACUUUUCGUUGUGUUUUAUUUUGCCAUUUGGGUAGGUUAUAGUUUUUGUUUUCCUCUGGAGUUCUUACCCAAAGAUCCAACAGCCCCAACAUCAAUUUUCACAUACAGUAUUGUAAUAGAAAUGCCUUAAGGCUUAAAAUGAUGGACAAGGGUUUUAAUAUAUUGUCAUAGGAGGCCCAAUAUAUGGUUGUAAUGGGCACAAAAAAAGAUCAAAACUGUUCCUAACAAGUAUCUCUGUUGGAGUAAAUGUUGAAUAAAAGCUUGCAAGGCUCACACUACAAUUUUGAGUUGUGAUUUUAACAGACAAUUUUAAUCUUUUUUCAUGGCUAACAUAGGAUCGAGGCAUCUCUGCGAAGGUUCCAAUAGAUAGUUGUACAAGUAAAGUUUUAGUUCAUAUAUAAAAAGGCCAGCAAAUAGACAUGAAUUUUUCUUGACGAAUAUGAAUUUAUGGAUAGUACAUGGGUGGGGAUGCUUAUUUCACAACACUCUAAUUUCUAUGUCUGAAAGAUCGACGUAUUUUAAUAUUUGAAAUGGGGAAAAAAAAAUAUAAUGUUCAAUAGCAUGUAGAUCAAAUUAUAUAGAUAAUAUAGUAGAUGACUGAUUGGAUGUAUUCUAUUACACUUUUCCAGAUGCCAAGAAAAAUCCUGAGAUGUGUUGAAAACUUGAAGAAUGCCCUGGUUAAAUUUUAUGCCACAAAGGGAAUCACCUUUGUUCAAAGCAAUUAGUAUAAUAUUCCAUUCAUCCAUCGAGGGGCAGCACUCUCCACUUGAUGAGUAAAAUCAUCUGGCAUUAGACAGAGUAAAAUACUCUGGCAUAAGACAGAGUAAAAUACUAAAAGUAGGGCACAUCAGGGUGCAUUGCCACUUAAUUAAAGGGUUAACUCAUUCAGCACUCUCCCCUUCACAAAUAAAAUUUGCCAUUAGACAGAAUAAUAAAGUAGGGUGCAUUGUGUUGCAUUCAGACUUAUCAAAGGCUUAACAGGAUGCAUAGGCAUAUACUGGUCAACCCAUAGAGUGCCAGAGCUCUCCCCUUGCAUUGACAAGUAUAUUCGUCUGGCAUUUGAAAGGAAAAUUAUGUGGUGGAUUGCCUGACUUAUCAAAAGGGAUAAUAGGGGCCCACAGCAACUCUCUUGUUCUCUCAGGGGGGAGGGGGUUAGGUUACACUCACAAAUGAAUAAUAGCUGUUAUCGUAUUUGAAUACCCGCUGCGGCGAACCAGCGGU
rnacentral:lncRNA from 1 species